GGAAGUAAAAGUCGUACAAGGUUUCCGUAGGUGAACCUGCGGAAGGAUCAUUCAUAAUAAAGUGUUUUAUGGCACUUUUUAAAAUCCAUAUCCACCUUGUGUGCAAUGUUAGAUCUCGUCAAUCUUGGCGAGAUUUUUAUACAUCAACUCAUUCUUUAACUAAUUUGUCUGAAAAAUAUUAUGAAUACUUAAUUCAAAAUACAACUUUCAACAACGGAUCUCUUGGCUCUC
rnacentral:misc_RNA from 1 species